CAUCAGAAAUCUUCAUUGAAAAAUAAUGAAGUGUUUGGCUGGUCUUAUAAAAUGAAUUUGUCGGUGUUUCCAUACCUACUAUUUUUCUGAAAAGCUUCCCUGGUUCUUGGGCCUUCAGAUUUGAACUGAAUUACACCAUUGGCUUUCCUGCGUCUUCAGAAAAUGGCAUGUACUUAACAUCCUUUAUGUAAUCCUUCAUCUGAGAGUCUGUUUUUGAGGAACCUGACCUGUAACACAGCCUGAAGAAAUUUGGGGACAAAUCCUAGCAAAAAAUUGGGAUAUCAUUCUUGAUGUAUUUAUUUUUUGGAUGAUACAUAUCAUUUUACUCCCUAAGAGCCAUACCAAUCAAUACUACAAAAGAAUGAGCAAACGGAAUUUCUCUGCAGCCUGUAUCUCAACAAGAUCUGCUCCUCCAACUCCUUGCAUCUGGCAUUUUUUGGGGGAUAAUCAUAAGGAAUGUUUUGACUCUCUGAUAAACACACAGAAAUGAACAUUUUGUAGGAAACCAUAAACAUGAGUCAUACAGAUAAAAAGCAAACAUAGUUCUAUUUACUGUCAUCAGAGUAUGUAGAUCAAUAUUUUAUUGCAUUGGAAGCUUCAUCUGCCAUUUUUAAAGUAAUCAUUUCAACCAGGAGGAUGGUAUAUUCUGACUGAAAACCUCCCAGGACCAUAUUAUGUAGGCAAAUGAUUUUUUCCAAAGAAAUAGACAGGAAAGUGGCUGUAAAGACAAAAUGUAUACCUUUGACUAUAGUGGCUAAGGCCGUAUCUCUGUGUUUUUUCCAUUGACCACAUGGUUGGUUUGAGUCAUA
rnacentral:lncRNA from 1 species